AUGCACGGACAGGCGAGAGGGAGAGAGGGAGGGAGCGCGCGGAUUCCGGUUGCUCGCUGUUUGAUGCGCUGCGGGCGCGGCUGCAGCUUCCUCCGUCCAGGCGUCCACCCGAUGCCGCUCCUCGCCACCCCACCCUAUAUAAUGCCGCGCACGUCAGCGGCCACCGCGGGCCCCGCCACUGCCACCUCUUCCGGUACCUGCUCCCUCCGGGUCCGCCUCCGCGCACCAGGGAGAUCCGCCGCCGCCGCCUCCUCCUCCCGGCUCCCUCGCGCCAUGGCCGCCACCGGAGCCGAUGCCGCCGCCGCUCCCCCGUCCCUGCUCGUCUUUUCAGGUGGAACAGCAUUUAAUGGCGUCGUAGAAGAGUUGAAGAAAGUGACUACCCGGGUUGCGCAUGUCCUACCAGUUUCUGAUGAUGGUGGAAGCACAGCUGAGAUUGUUCGUGUUCUUGGUGGACCUGCUGUGGGUGACAUAAGAUCAAGAUGCUUGAGACUGUCCGAUGAAAGCACUUUGGAAGCACUCUCCGUCCGGAGAUUGCUUGGGCACCGUUUGCCUCUUGAUCCUUCAGAAGCAAAGCUGGAGUGGUACCAUAUUGUGGAAGGAGAACACUCUUUAUGGGAUGGUGUCUCUCGUCCCUACAGGGAAACAAUCCGUGCAUUUUUGGUCUACUUCCAUAAUGAGAUCCUUCGGCGACCAGUUGAAACAUUUUCCUUCACCAAUGGCAGCAUUGGGAAUUUCUUUUUUGCUGGCGCACGCAUAUUCUUCCAGUCUUUGGAUGCUGCGAUCUUUUUGUUUUCACGUGUGUCACAAAUCCCUGCGGAAAGUCUUGUGCUUCCAGUAAUAUCCACAAAUGACAGGCUUACUCUGGGGUGUGAAUUAUGGGAUGGAACUAUUAUCCGAGGCCAAAAUGAAAUAUCACAUCCAAGCAAUGGCCGUAGAGAAGUAGUUGACAAGAACUGUAAUUCAUGCACCGCACUUCCUUCAAGCAUCAAGCGCGUCUUCUACAUGUCAAGUGAAGGUUGCAACCUAUUGCAUGAGGUGUUUCCUGAAGCUAACCAUACAGUUUUGGAGCAGCUAAGUAAGGUGGAUUGCAUUGUAUAUGCGAUGGGGUCGCUAUUUACAUCAGUUUGUCCAUCACUGGUACUGCGUGGCAUUGGUGAGACUAUAGCAUCAAGGUCCAUUCCCAAGGUACUUCUUUUAAAUGGAUCACAUGAUAGAGAAACUAUUGGGCUGUCUGCUUCUGGCUUUGUGACUGCAAUUACGGAUUCUCUAAAUCGGACAUAUGGUGAUCCUGACAAAAGUCUAAAGUAUCAUCCCAAAGACUAUGUUAAUGCCAUAUUGGUUCCUGAAGGAGGCCAAAUUCCUUUAGAUGUUGAAAAUUUGGCAUCUAAAGGAAUUUUUCAUGUGUUAACCGUGAAAUCUGUACGCGACACGAAGGUGGGUGUCAUAUUUGAUCCGCAGUCUUUAAUCCAAGCUCUGACCGGUCUGAUAUCCGAGCACAUGGAUGCAUGCCUCGCGGAACCUGACCCUCUAACUGAAAACGUGACGUCUGUAUGCUGA
rnacentral:rRNA from 1 species